GACAACCAUUUUACUUUCUAACUUUCCUUGCUAAACAGAUAUAGUUUGAGGACAGCGUAAGAAGAACAACACCAACAUUAUGACAUCUCUUCACAAAAUCUGUCACUCGCCAAUAUCACAGAGCACUAUUAUGACAAGUUGUAUGAUCAUCAUUGCUGUUCUGAUCAGGUCUUCCCUAAGUCAGUUCGUGUGUCCGGAAAUGUUUGGAAUGUUUCAGCAUCCGGACAACUGUGAUAUGUUCUAUGUUUGCAACUACGGCAUACCUUAUCAACGUACCUGUCCAACCGGUCUUCUGUUUGAUAUCAACCUUGGAGUUUGCCGGCAUUCCGUACAGGUGCACUGCUUUAACGAGACUCAUCAACUCACAGCAGGGUUUACGUGUCCCACCCCAAUUGGGAUAUAUACCGACCCAACGUCUUGUGAGCAUUUUUACUUGUGUGCUAACGGAAGGGGUUUUCGUCAGAAAUGUCCAUUUGGCUUGAUAUUCGACGGUGUCGUGUGUAACUGGAAAAAAGACAACAGUUGUACUCCGACUUGGAAGAGUAGUUUGCGGGAUGGAAUCAAUAUUGAUACGAAACCGAACGAUCCUAGUCGUAGAUCACGAGUUGUGUCGCCGAAAAAGAGCUCGGAGAAGCUAGUUCCAUCGACUACAGACGAACAUCAGCGAAAUCAGGAUGGUGUUAGUUUGCUAACGAGUACGGAGGGAAACCGAAUAACUGAUGAGUUUGAGAGGAAUAGAAAGCAGAUGCGUAAUAAGUCAGAUCAAAGUACUGAAAUGGGGAAUUUAACAGAAAAUAAUCAGGUACAACAGCAACGAAAAGGAAACUCUAAUUUGGAACGGUCUAGAGAGGAAGAAAAAACAGUAAUAGGAAAGGCAAAAGUUAAAAAUGUAGAAAAAGCAGAAGAGGAAGGGAAGGAAAAUAAUGAAAACGAUGGGAAUAAAGCAAGAGGUAGAUAUUUAAAAGAAUAUCUGGCGAGAGAGGAAAAGCGACGAAAGUUUUUGAAAGAGUUGGAAAAGAAGAGAUCAGAACUGUGGGAGAGACAGCAGCAAUUGAGGAGAAAACUACUGAGGCAGCAUCAACUGCAACAGAGAAAAUUAUUCAUUCUGAGACAGAAACAGCAGCAGCAACUAUUGCAGCAACGACAACAACUACAGCAAUUGCAAGAAAAGAAGGAAGACCAACAACAACAACAUCAAAACGGAUCAGUUCCACAAUUUCAGCAACACGAAGGACACAAACAACACCAAGAUCAACAACAACAACCACAACAAAAAGAAGAAGAAGAACAACAACAACAACUGCAAAAAGAACAACAACAACUGCAAAAAGAACAACAACAACUGCAAAAAGAACAACAAUUGCUCGAAAAUGAAGAACAUCAGCGGCAGCAGCAUCAACAGGAAAAACAAGAACAAAGCACAGCGAGGGAUAGAAAUCUGAAAGCCAAUGAGAUCAGGGAUAUCUGGAGUGAAUCUGACCAAAGUAACAGUUCAAAGACAGCGUGGAAACCGAAUUCCAGCAAAGGGCGUAGCCACUCAGAAAAGGGUUUGUAUCCUUCUCUCUUUCAUUCAUCUGUCAGCAAUCAGAUUUUCCUCGUGAACCACCGAAUUAAACCAAACUACACAAACGACAAUAUGGACGACGGCGCUAUCGUCAAAGACAGCCAAAGCAGCAACAGUAAUGCCAGCGAAAGCAACAAUAAUAACAUUAAUAGCAACGGUUUUAACAAGGCUGUAACUUCAGGAAACGCCAGAUAGAAAGAAAAAAAAAAUAAUGAAAAGAAACUCCCAUGCGCGCACACACAGAGACACAGUCUCUCUCUCUCUCCCUGUCUCUCUCUCCUUGUCUCUCUCUCACAUACACGCACACAAACACAAACACACACAAUGUGAAUUCAAUAUCCUACAAUUAAGAAACGACAUAUCUUAUCUGAUUUACAUCUUCUACAAUUUCAUCUGAGGAAGUGACAUUUGUAAAUAGCGGAAAAUAAGGGUAACAACAACAACAACAACAACAACAAUAGCAGCAACAUUAAAGAACAACAGCUGUGCGGACUAAAGUUCCAGUUAUUUUAACAUUGAAUACACAACAGUGCUUCGAUUAUUGCAUAAAUAUACCAAUAUACGAACUCAUGUUAGUACAAUUCGCAAUUAUUGUAGUAACUUAUUUAUUCCUGUGACCAGAAGAAUGAUUAAAAAAAAAGAAAGACAACAAAUAAUAAAAUAAAAAACAAACAAACUGUGAACCAUUAAACAGAAAUAUUAAUUUGCUGUUUACACAUAAUCUAUGUAAAUUUAUAAUAUAUUUUGUAUAUAACCAAAAAUGGCAUUCCAGUUCUUUCUGUUCUGGAGAAUGAUUAACCAGCUCUUCGAGAAUAUUGUUUCCAUAAAAUAGCUUUGUCAUUUUCCUGUUGUAAUAAAAUACUGAAAAUAUUUUAUACGACCACCAUUUUAAAACAAGUGUUUCUUUUGUCUUUAUACAAUACGGCAUCUGAAUGUUAUAGACCAUAGAGUUCUUUGAGUGAACUAUUUGAAAUAUAAUUCUGUGGAAUAUGAACCUAAAUUGCAAAUAUAUUUUAAAUAACAUUAUGAAAUAAGCUCGUGCCUGGGGUUUUGAUUAUCGAAUUAAUCACUUCACUUUACUCAGAGCAACAGGAGUAAAUUUUUGCUCUCAAACAAGAAAUUAAUGUUGUAAAUUUUGACACAACAAACUUUUAUACAAAUUUUCUUGCUACCAAUUAUUUGAUAUUUGAUCCAAAUCCUUAAAUUAAUGCUUAGUUCU
rnacentral:misc_RNA from 1 species